AUAUUUUAUACAUGGCUAAUAGCAACAUAUUAGCAAAACCGGGAAUACGACAGAUUUGUACUGUGUGUUUAAUAAGUAAAUUUGUUUUGGAGCAAAUUGCAAUUUAACAAAUUUGGGCCGAUUAAUUCCUGCAUUUCGAGCUAAAAUGUACCCAAAAUAUGCGCCACGCAAAACGCUCAGUGCCAAGUAUGUUCAGGUCGGCAUCAUGUUUCUGAACUCCACCUGUGAUGUCCAAAAAAAGAGAUGAUUGGUAAGAAAACAUGUUGACUGAUAACUAUGGGACAGUCAAUAAAUAUUGAUUUAUUUUACAGACCAAGUGAGAAGUGAG